GACCUCAAAUCAGGUAGGACUACCCGCUGAACUUAAGCAUAUCAU
rnacentral:rRNA from 2 species